AUCUCUUACAUCAAAGUUUUAUACAUAAACAUGCAAACUAUAUAUAAAUAAAGUUAGUCAUGACAAGUUCAUGUUGCAUCCUCUGACGCAGUAGGUGGCAGUAUACACUUUUCAGGUCAUGGCUGCAACCCGCCAGUUAAGCAAAAGAAGAAGAAGACAAGCACGACGUUGCUCAAUACUUUAAAAAAUAAAACCUAAUUUUUCACAAAAUAAACGGAAAAAGGAAGGAGGCGAAGUAAAAAAGAGCAACAACGUAACCCCGUUUUUCUCCAAGAAAGUGAACUGCCCUGUGAUCAUCCGUCGUUGGUCCAAACAGAGGAGGGAGCCCAGGAAGUGAAAGUGAAGCCAACACUUCCAAAUUGGUGAUGACUCUUUGUCCUGUCGCACAUACAAGACAAGUCAAAGUUCUACAGACAAUGCCCCGCAAGGACAAUGUUAGAAUGGUG